AUUUCCGUAGGUGAACCUGCGGAAGGAUCAUUAAAGAAUCGGUGACCCUCGUGGUCCCCAUUCUCACCCUUUGUAUACCAAACUUCAGUUGCUUUGGCUGGCCUUCGCGGGCCGGCCAGAGGACUCAAACCCUUGAAUCUUUGCUGUCUGAGUACUAUAUAAUAGUUAAAACUUUCAACAACGGAUCUCUUGGUUCUGGCAUCGAUGAAGAACGCAGCGAAAUGCGAUAAGUAAUGUGAAUUGCAGAAUUCAGUGAAUCAUCGAAUCUUUGAACGCACAUUGCGCCCUCUGGUAUUCCGGGGGGCAUGCCUGUUCGAGCGUCAUUACAACCCUCAAGCUCAGCUUGGUAUUGGGCUCGCCCUUUAUGGGCCUGCCUCAAAAUCAGUGGCGGCUCCGUCCAGUCUCAAGCGCAGUAAUACUCGUCGCUUGUUAGGCUUGAUCGGCGGUUUGCCAGCAACCCCCAAUUUUACAAGGUUGACCUCGGAUCAGGUAGGGAUACCCGCUGAACUUAAGCAUAUCAAUAAGCGGAGGA
rnacentral:rRNA from 1 species